GCCAGGAUGGCCGAAUGGAUAUGGCAUCAGAUCUGUGAAACUUACUGAUGUCUGUCACACACCCUGUUGAGUGUAAUGUCUACUCUGGGGAAACAAAACGGGCUUCGAUUGCUGUAAAUACCCGUGCUUGCAAAAUUAGGUUUAGUGUAAAUAAUGUAAAAAGCAUUGUGCGUUAUGAAAAGUAUACUGUGUGUGAUAGAUAUCAGUGAUUUCGCAUCAUCUGAUUCGCUGUGUGCGUUGUGGGUUCGAAUCCCGCUCCUGGUU